rnacentral:tRNA from 1 species
GGCCGCCUAGCACAGUUGGUAGUGCGUCUGACUACGAUGUAUCAGACGAUAAUCAGGAGGUCGCAGGUUCGAGCCCUGCGGUGGUCG